UUCUUAUACCAAAGAUUCACUUAUUACUACGAUGAUGGGGUGAGGAUUGAGGCUCCAUAUCCGAGGAAACACGGCGAUUCGAAUCGAUUAAACCCAGCUGGGGAUUCAGUACCACAUGACAUAUGUAGAACUUAAUCUUGCAUAUGUCAACCUGUUUCUAUAGAUCCUCCCAUACAAGAACGGGUCCAGCGUCACCCGAGAGUACAGUACACCACCAUCCUACAGCCAAUCUAGAUGUUUCCCGGUCAUCUCAGAUCCGUAAGGUGGGUACACGCUACUCUCGCCAUCUCUCCACUCCCAGUACGCGGUUAGCC
rnacentral:lncRNA from 1 species